UACGGGGGGGGCAAGCGUUGUUCGGAAUUACUGGGCGUAAAGGGCUCGUAGGUGGCCAACUAAGUCGGACGUGAAAUCCCUCGGCUUAACCGGGGAACUGCGUCCGAUACUGGCAGGCUUGAAUCCGGGAGAGGGAUGCGGAAUUCCAGGUGUAGCGGUGAAAUGCGUAGAUAUCUGGAGGAACACCGGUGGCGAAGGCGGCAUCCUGGACCGGCAUUGACGCUGAGGCGCGAAAGCCAGGG
rnacentral:rRNA from 1 species